rnacentral:rRNA from 1 species
GUGUCAGCCGCCGCGGUAAUACGUAGGGGGCGAGCGUUGUCCGGAAUCAUUGGGCGUAAAGAGCGUGUAGGCGGUUCGGUAAGUCUGCCGUGAAAACCUGGGGCUCAACCCUGGGCGUGCGGUGGAAACUGUCGAGCUAGAGGAUGGUAGAGGGGAGUGGAAUUCCCGGUGUAGCGGUGAAAUGCGCAGAUAUCGGGAGGAACACCAGUAGCGAAGGCGGCUCCCUGGGCCAUUCCUGACGCUGAGACGCGAAAGCGUGGGGAGCAAACAGGAUUAGAAACCCCUGUAGUCC